rnacentral:rRNA from 1 species
AACGAACGCUGGCGGCAUGCCUAACACAUGCAAGUCGAACGAGACCUUCGGGUCUAGUGGCGCACGGGUGCGUAACGCGUGGGAACCUGCCCUUAGGUUCGGAAUAACUCUCCGAAAGGGGUGCUAAUACCGGAUAAUGUCUUCGGACCAAAGAUUUAUCGCCUUUGGAUGGGCCCGCGUUGGAUUAGCUAGUUGGUAGGGUAAAAGCCUACCAAGGCGACGAUCCAUAGCUGGUCUGAGAGGAUGAUCAGCCACACUGGGACUGAGACACGGCCCAGACUCCUACGGGAGGCAGCAGUGGGGAAUAUUGGACAAUGGGCGAAAGCCUGAUCCAGCAAUGCCGCGUGAGUGAUGAAGGCCUUAGGGUUGUAAAGCUCUUUUACCCGGGAUGAUAAUGACAGUACCGAGAGAAUAAGCUCCGGCUAACUCCGUG